rnacentral:rRNA from 1 species
GGGUUGUGAGGUUAAGCGACUAAGCGUACACGGUGGAUGCCCUGGCAGUCAGAGGCGAUGAAGGACGUGCUAAUCUGCGAAAAGCGUCGGUAAGGUGAUAUGAACCGUUACAGCCGGCGAUGUCCGAAUGGGGAAACCCAGUGCAAUUCGUUGCACUAUCGUUAACUGAAUACAUAGGUUAACGAGGCGAACCGGGGGAACUGAAACAUCUAAGUACCCCGAGGAAAAGAAAUCAACCGAGAUUCCCCCAGUAGCGGCGAGCGAAC